AUUGAACGCUGGCGGCAUGCUUUACACAUGCAAGUCGAACGGUAACAGGCCGCAAGGUGCUGACGAGUGGCGAACGGGUGAGUAAUGCAUCGGAACGUGCCCAGUCGUGGGGGAUAACGCAGCGAAAGCUGUGCUAAUACCGCAUACGAUCUAUGGAUGAAAGCGGGGGACCGUAAGGCCUCGCGCGAUUGGAGCGGCCGAUGUCAGAUUAGGUAGUUGGUGGGGUAAAGGCCUACCAAGCCAACGAUCUGUAGCUGGUCUGAGAGGACGACCAGCCACACUGGGACUGAGACACGGCCCAGACUCCUACGGGAGGCAGCAGUGGGGAAUUUUGGACAAUGGGCGCAAGCCUGAUCCAGCAAUGCCGCGUGCAGGAAGAAGGCCUUCGGGUUGUAAACUGCUUUUGUACGGAACGAAACGGUCUGGGUUAAUACCCCGGGCUAAUGACGGUACCGUAAGAAUAAGCACCGGCUAACUACGUGCCAGCCGCCGCAGUAAGAC
rnacentral:rRNA from 1 species